UCGUAACAAGGUUUCCGUAGGUGAACCUGCGGAAGGAUCAUUGUCGUGACCCUGACCAAAACAGACCGCGCACGCGUCAUCCAAUCCGUCGGUGACGGCAUCGUCCGUCGCUCGGCCAAUGCCUCGACCACCUCCCCUCCUCGGAGUGGGUGGGGGCUCGGGGUAAAAGAACCCACGGCGCCGAAGGCGUCAAGGAACACUGUGCCUAACCCGGGGGCAUGGCUAGCUUGCUAGCCAUCCCUCGUGUUGCAAAGCUAUUUAAUCCACACGACUCUCGGCAACGGAUAUCUCGGCUCUCGCAUCGAUGAAGAACGUAGCGAAAUGCGAUACCUGGUGUGAAUUGCAGAAUCCCGCGAACCAUCGAGUCUUUGAACGCAAGUUGCGCCCGAGGCCACUCGGCCGAGGGCACGCCUGCCUGGGCGUCACGCCAAAACACGCUCCCAACACCCCUCAUCGGGAAUCGGGAUGCGGCAUCUGGUCCCUCGUCUCGCAAGGGGCGGUGGACCGAAGAUCGGGCUGCCGGCGUACCGCGCCGGACACAGCGCAUGGUGGGCGUCCUCGCCUUAUCAACGCAGUGCAUCCGACGCGCAGCCGGCAUGAUGGCCUCAAAACGACCCAGCAAACGAAGCGCACGUCGCUUCGACCGCGACCCCAGGUCAGGCGGGACUACCCGCUGAGUUUAAGCAUAUCAAUAAGCGGAGGA
rnacentral:rRNA from 1 species